UUACAUCUACCAACUCUGUUGUUCUGGGUUUGCCCUCGCCGUCCGGCACCCGGCUUUAAGUGGAAGUCACGUCGGGGCCGGACCCCGCGUGGGAAGCCGGGGUUAAGUCGCCUGGUAUGGCUUGGCCCGUUCCACAUGUGCCUUCCAAUCCAGCAAGGGCUAUUUUCUCGGAAUCCCAAAGAUAGCGGAGUUAUGCCGGGAAACCUCACGAGAAUGCCUACGCGCAUUCGUGAUGCUUAAGAGAAAAGGCUCUUUUGUUCUCGGCAAAUCUGCUGUUCAGAGAGCCGCUUUUAACGUAAAUAAUGAAUUCACAAUUUUGGCGGGGAGGGGACGUACUGUGUUUGCUUUGAAGGUACUUCUGGCCGCCGUGGUGGUGGCUCAGGUCUAGUUCCAGCAGUCAGGCAUUUCUUCGAGCUGGAGGUUUGGCAAGGAUGUGUGGUGAGAUUUGUCAAAUGAAAGUCUUUUACUGUGACUAUCCAACGUGGAUAACCCGGGAGGUCACUCUCCCCGGGCUCUGUCCUAGUGGCGUACGGGAGCAUAGGGCUUCGCCCGGUGAUGUAUAGUCCCUUUCCACAACGUUGGAGAUGAAGCUGGGCUUUCAGUCCGCGCCUGCAUAUUCCUACAGCUUCUCAGAGUCCUGUGGACAGUGACUGAGGGGACAAACCAUGCAGGAAACAGGCUUAAAUCACACCGUCUGAGGAUGAGGCUGCGUUCUAUUAAGAGUUUCACUUACUGAUGAAAUGCAUUGUUUUGCAGAACUGAUCGGUAAUUGCAAGUGACUCCUUGAUUGAGGAAAGAAGAGGAUUUGCUACAACCACCUCCUGAAGGUUAACAUGGUUUUUGGGGCCUUUUAACUAUUGAGAUUGGUAAAGCUCUGUGUGUAUUAGGGGUUUAGCUGAGGAUCUUGGUGUCUAUGUUCUAUGGGAUGUGUGAGGACCUGUGUUAUCUCUCCAGGAUCAUGACUUGUGCUUGUUCAUGUCCAUAUUCACUGUAAGAUCACACCAUAGGUUCAAGACCACACUGGGUUAUAGAAUUCAUUUGUAUUUUAAAUAAAUGUUUGUAAUAUACCUGACAAAUCUGAUUAAAGUGGACUUUUGAAUGUG